rnacentral:tmRNA from 1 species
GGGGAUGAUCGGUUUCGACGUUGGACAUGGCGUCGGGAGAAGCGGGCCGAGAAUGCAGAGUCAACUCGUUAAUGUCCUCUGCAAAACAAUAGGUGCUAAGUCUAACAACCGCACCGAUUUCGCCCUCGCCGCCUGAUAACGCGAGCUGCGAAUCCGUCAGCCUAGAGUUGCUUCCGCUCUAGUUCCUGGCGUCAGCUAGGGAGCCACUGCUGUCGGCACAUGUUGGGGGUGUCGAUGGGACUCUUACUCAACUCCGUUCGUUGGUCUACGUGUUCGUGCGAUGACCAGGACCUAAGAAGCUGUUUCACGAACUGCGCCCGGAGAAGACCCGGUAAUAUGCCGACGGACGCGGGUUCGAUUCCCGCCAUCUCCACUU